AGAGUUUGAUCAUGGCUCAGAACGAACGCUGGCGGCAUGCCUAACACAUGCAAGUCGAACGAGGGCUUCGGCCCUAGUGGCGCACGGGUGAGUAACGCGUGGGAACCUGCCCUGUGGUACGGAAUAACUCCGGGAAACUGGAGCUAAUACCGUAUGUGUCCUGCGGGACAAAGAUUUAUCGCCAUGGGAUGGGCCCGCGUAGGAUUAGCUUGUUGGUGAGGUAACGGCUCACCAAGGCAACGAUCCUUAGCUGGUCUGAGAGGAUGAUCAGCCACACUGGGACUGAGACACGGCCCAGACUCCUACGGGAGGCAGCAGUGGGGAAUAUUGGACAAUGGGCGCAAGCCUGAUCCAGCAAUGCCGCGUGAGUGAUGAAGGCCUUCGGGUUGUAAAGCUCUUUCGCACGCGACGAUGAUGACGGUAGCGUGAGAAGAAGCCCCGGCUAACUUCGUGCCAGCAGCCGCGGUA
rnacentral:rRNA from 1 species